ACACCUCAAACCCCAAUGUUUUGAAAGAAGCAUUGCUUGGGUUUGGUUCUUGGGCUGUUACUUUGCUGCUUAACUGUCAGCUAGCCUUAAAGAUAUUAGCUGGACUCGAGCUUUCGAGUGCCUUCAACGCUUGAUGUGAUAAAUGUUACGUCGUGCUUGAAAGCCUUGGAUAGCGAUUUUUCAGAGUCUGUUUCUAAUACGGCGAGAAGUCCUAGCACUUCGACCCAUUAUUUUAAC
rnacentral:misc_RNA from 1 species